rnacentral:rRNA from 1 species
GCUUAGCCCUAAACACAGAUAAUUACAUAAACAAAAUUAUUUGCCAGAGUACUACCAGCAACAGCUUAAAACUCAAAGGGACGUUGGGCGGUGUCUUUAUUAUCCUUC